rnacentral:rRNA from 1 species
CCUACGUGCGGCAGCAGUGGGGAAUAUUGGACAAUGGGGGGAACCCUGAUCCAGCGACGCCGCGUGAGUGAAGAAGUAUUUCGGUAUGUAAAGCUCUAUCAGCAGGGAAGAAAGAAAUGACGGUACCUGACUCAGAAGCCCCGGCUAACUACGUGCCAGCAGCCGCGGUAGUACGUAGGGGGCAAGCGUUAUCCGGAUUUACUGGGUGUAAAGGGAGCUUAGACGGCGAUGCAAGUCUGAAGUGAAAGGCGGGGGCCCAACCCCUGGACUGCUUUGGAAACUGUAUGGCUGGAGUGCAGGAGAGGUAAGUGGAAUUCCUAGGGUAGCGGUGAAAUGCGUAGAUAUUAGGAGGAACACCAGUGGCGAAGGCGGCUUACUGGACUGUAACUGACGUUGAGGCUCGAAAGCGUGGGGAGCAAACAGGAUUAGAUACCCUUGUAGUC